rnacentral:rRNA from 1 species
AUUGAACGCUGGCGGCAGGCCUAACACAUGCAAGUCGAGCGGUAGAGAGGUGCUUGCAUCUCUUGAGAGCGGCGGACGGGUGAGUAAUGCCUAGGAAUCUGCCUAGUGGUGGGGGAUAACGUUCGGAAACGGACGCUAAUACCGCAUACGUCCUACGGGAGAAAGCGGGGGAUCUUCGGACCUCGCGCCAUUAGAUGAGCCUAGGUCGGAUUAGCUAGUUGGUGAGGUAAUGGCUCACCAAGGCGACGAUCCGUAACUGGUCUGAGAGGAUGAUCAGUCACACUGGAACUGAGACACGGUCCAGACUCCUACGGGAGGCAGCAGUGGGAAUAUUGGACAAUGGGCGAAAGCCUGAUCCAGCCAUGCCGCGUGUGUGAAGAAGGUCUUCGGAUUGUAAAGCACUUUAAGUUGGGAGGAAGGUAGUAACCUAAUACGUUGCUACUUUGACGUUACCGACAGAAUAAGCAACCGGCUAAACUUCGUAGCCAGCAG